CAGAAAAUAAUUUAAUUUAUUUUAUAAAAUUUAAACUUUGGAAGUUUAAUUUGACUUAAUGUCUUUUCUGA
rnacentral:tRNA from 1 species